ACGGACAACUUGAACUUGCUCAGGUAGUUUCUCCGCAUUGACAGCUCCCCACCGGAGCGACAAUGCCCACUAUUAUUAGAAAAUCCCCAUUUUGGGAGAAAAUUAUUGCCGUCUUGAACUGCUCUAUUCAAUUAUCCUCUUUUUUCAUGAUUGCUGGUGCUAUUUGGGAGUAGUUAAUCAAUUUUGUUUUUCGAUUGGAUGUAUUUUCAGUAGAAAUAGAUGGUUUUUUACAGUUGAAAGUCCACAUGUUCAUUCAUAUGCUCUGGUAAUUUGAAUUUUGGAGAUGCUCGAGUAAAAUGUAACAAGCGUCCUUCCCUUUUUAAUUCCGUUGCUAACUUUUUGACGUGAUGCAGGAAGUAGAUGAACCUUGUACAAUACAAUAUUUGAACUUCUGUUAACAUCUGCGUUCCUUCUCGUGGUUGUUUUCUCUGAAUUUUUGCUACUACGAACACCCAUAGAGGAAGAGUAGCACCUCUGAAUCUGAAGUUCUACCUGAAACUGAACUUCUAGCAUCUUGUCCAUGGAGUCAAGGCGCUGCCUGGUGUGCCAUCUAGUUUUUGGAUGGGGCGCCGUCACGACCCAGCGUCUCCCUGAGCUCCGCAUCCCGUUCACCACCGCGGCUGUCCUGCGUCCUCACGACCUCCGCGUCCAGUCCACCAACGUCCUGCCAGUGCGUCCUGAGCAAAGCAUGGGGUUCGUGCUAAUGCGUUUGUUCGUGCACCGGUGUGUGCGUGUGUGCUGGCAUUUGUGUGUGCGCUGGGUGUGUUGCUUGCAUGUUGUGAUGUAUGAUGUAUAGAUUUUCUUUGAAAUUCAUGUUGUGAAUCCAACUAAGUUUGAACAAAAAAGAUAAUAUCACUGUAGCUUUAAAUUUGCUCCUGUACCAGAAAUCUCGCUUCCCAGCUGUUGUACUAUGUCCACUUAUGUAUUGUUUCUAAAUGGCCUUUUGUCUGAAGUUCAGUAGUACCUUUGGGUGCAAACAAGUUGAUUCAGUUUCAUGGGUCCUUCAAAACAGAUGUU
rnacentral:lncRNA from 1 species